rnacentral:rRNA from 1 species
GAUGAACGCUGGCGGCGUGCCUAAUACAUGCAAGUCGAGCGAACAGACGAGGAGCUUGCUCCUCUGACGUUAGCGGCGGACGGGUGAGUAACACGUGGAUAACCUACCUAUAAGACUGGGAUAACUUCGGGAAACCGGAGCUAAUACCGGAUAAUAUAUUGAACCGCAUGGUUCAAUAGUGAAAGACGGUUUUGCUGUCACUUAUAGAUGGAUCCGCGCCGCAUUAGCUAGUUGGUAAGGUAACGGCUUACCAAGGCGACGAUGCGUAGCCGACCUGAGAGGGUGAUCGGCCACACUGGAACUGAGACACGGUCCAGACUCCUACGGGAGGCAGCAGUAGGGAAUCUUCCGCAAUGGGCGAAACCCUGACGGAGCAACGCCGCGUGAGUGAUGAAGGUCUUCGGAUCGUAAAACUCUGUUAUUAGGGAAGAACAAAUGUGUAAGUAACUAUGCACGUCUUGACGGUACCUAAUCAGAAAGCCACGGCUAACUACGUG